GUGAGGAAUAUUGCGCAAUGGAGGCAACUCUGACGCAGCCAUGCCGCGUGCAGGAAGAAGGCGCUACGCGUUGUAAACUGCUUUUAACCGGGAAGAAACCCCAGGACGUGUCCUGGGUUGACGGUACCGGAGGAAUAAGCACCGGCUAACUUCGUGCCAGCAGCCGCGGUAAUACGAAGGGUGCAAGCGUCAUCCGGAUUCAUUGGGUUUAAAGGGUGCGUAGGCGGAGCGGUAAGUCAGUGGUGAAAUCCUGCAGCUUAACUGUAGACUUGCCAUUGAUACUGGCGCUCUUGAGUGCGCUUGAAGUGGGCGGAAUGUGCCGUGUAGCGGUGAAAUGCUUAGAUAUGGCACAGAACACCAAUUGCGAAGGCAGCUCACUAAGGCGAUACUGACGCUGAGGCACGAAAGCGUGGGGAUCGAACAGGAUUAGAUACCCGGGUAGUCC
rnacentral:rRNA from 1 species